CCCAAGCUAGGGUUAGGGUUUGGGUUUGAACAACACCUAGACAUUUCGCGUUGCAUUUGCUGUGCUCUAGGACACAUGAAAAAUGCAGGAAAAGUGUUGUUUUGUUAUUUCUUUGAAAAAGUAAUUUGGCCCAAUUUUGCCGUUUUUGCCAAGCAGCGCACCUGUCAAUCAAAUCUGGUCAAAAAUCAAAAGUUUGACAACACUCUUUCUACGUGCUAAAUUCUCUUGUUUCAUGUAAAAUGAAUGCAGAUUCUCAGCAGUUACUUUUAAAAGGUCAUCAAACUGCUACAUUAAGCACUUUGGACUACUUUGGAGUGAAUUGGGUAAAUGUUUGAACACAGCUUUUCAAGAUGUUUCAGGAACCUGACCUUCUGUCUUCACGAGCCGUGUUGUGCCAUCCAAACAGUCCAACCUCAACAUCAUGCUGAACUCUGAGACACUGGUGGGCUGCCUCCUCCAAGACACUCCGAUCAAGGUGAAAUCAAACCUGUUAUUGGAAAGGAAGGCAAUAUCUGCUAAAACAUCAAGAAUUAGCUUACCUGGAAAUGGUGAUGCAGGUAAGGAAAGAUGACUUCAGUAGGAAUGCAGGACUAUUUUGGGUGCCAAUGUGUACAAGAAAAGUGGCGCCACUAACACUAGCUCUCAGUAAGAGAAACUAUCAAGAAACAAUUAUGGGAGAUCACUUAUGGGCAUGCACACAACUCCAUAGGAAUUCAGUCCUCAAAACAUGCUUCAUUACUGACGCUGCAGGUUUGUAUUUAUACAAUACAGUAAAAUAAACAAGCCUGUGAGGACCUAAUGCAAAGAAACUGAGCAAUUUACAAAUUGAAACAGUAUAAAUGAGUUGUUCAUAAAACUGCUGGAGGCCUACAUAUUUCUCUGAACAAAAUAAUUUAAUAAAAUGAGCUACAUUUUAAAAUGAAAAGGCAUAGAAAGACAUUUUUCUGAUUUUUGAACCUCCUCUUUGUAUCUUUUAGACACUGUUUAUCACAUGGUCUACUCUGAUUUAGGCCACUCAGAUUUGUGUCCAAUCUAUUGUGAACCUGCCUAAUAAACAUUCUCCACAGUCAGUGUGCCUACCACUGUGAUAGAGACUGUACCUGACAUGCUGUCCCAACAAUUCACAAUAUGUUUAAAGAAAUCACAAAACAUCAAACAACCACACUGCUCUCAGAAGACAUAAUACAAGAAUAUUUAUGGAUUUCAUCUAAAUUUUAUUAAUCCUCUCAUUAAUAUACAAAUAAUACAGUCUCCCUGUCACUGUCCUAAAAUUUAACUCAUAACAAGAAUGUUGGCAAACAAAUUUAGCCUUGCAGUGCUGUGGUAGGUUCCUUACUAAUCUCCAGACUAAGAGAAACUUGAAAAAUAAGCAAAAGCAUCAUUUAACACCACUUAACCGCAACAAAAAUACUUAUUUCACUAAUCUAGAAAUUUAUUGAAAACAAAAUGUAGAAAUGAUCUCUCAAUUUUCAAGACAAUAGGAAAAAAC